rnacentral:rRNA from 1 species
CGUGCAUAACACAUGCAAGUCGAACGAUGAACCUUAUUGAUUCUUCGGAAUGAAAAUAAGUGGAUUAGUGGCGAACGGGUGAGUAACACGUGAGUAACCUGCCUUACACAAGGGGAUAGCCUUUGGAAACGAAGAAUAAUACCCUAUAAAGUCAAAAUAUCGCAUGAUAAAGUGACCAAAGAUUUAUCGGUGUAAGAUGGACUUGCGUCUGAUUAGCUAGUUGGUGAGAUAAAAGCCCACCAAGGCGACGAUCAGUAGCCGGCUUGAGAGAGUGUACGGCCACAUUGGGACUGAGACACGGCCCAAACUCCUACGGGAGGCAGCAGUGGGGAAUUUUGCACAAUGGGGGAAACCCUGAUGCAGCGACGCCGCGUGAUUUAGAAGGCCUUCGGGUUGUAAAAAUCUUUUUUAUGGGAUGAAAAUGACAGUACCAUAAGAAUAAGGUCCGGCUAAAUACGUGCCAGCAGCCGCGGUAAUACGUAUGGACCGAGCGUUGUCCGGAAUCAUUGGGCGUAAAGGGUACGUAGGCGGCCUAGUAAGUUAGAAGUGAAAUAAUAUAGCUCAACUAUAUAAAGCUUUUAAAACUGUUAGGCUUGAGAGAUGAAAGGGAAAGUGGAAUUCCUAGUGUAGCGGUGAAAUGCGCAGAUAUUAGGAAGAAUA